AUAAUCACUAGUCUUUUAAUUGAAGUCUUGUAUGAAAGAUUGCACGAAAUAUAAUCUGUCUCAUUUUAAUUAAUAUUAGAAAUUAAUUUUUAAGUUAAAAAGCUUAAAUUAAUUUAAAAGACGAGAAGACCCUAUAGAACUUUAUAAUGAUAUUUAAUUUAAUUAAUUAAAUUUAUUAAGAUUAAUUAGAUUUUAUUAUUUUGUUGGGGUGAUAGGAAAAUUUAAUAAACUUUUUUAAUAUAUAAAUUUCAUUAAUUAAUGAUUUUAUUAAUUGAUCUUAUAAUAUAAAUUAUUAGAUUAAGUUACCUUAGGGAUAACAGCGUAAUUAUUUUUUAGAGUUCAUAUUGACAAAAUAGAUUAC
rnacentral:rRNA from 1 species